GUGUGUGUGUAUGGACUCAGCAGUCUGUGUGUGUGUGUGUGUGUAUGGACUCAGCAGUUUGUGUGUGUAUGGACUCAGCAGUCUGUGUGUGUGUGUGUGUGUGUGUGUGUAUGGACUCGGCAGUCUGUGUGUGCAUGGACUCGGCAGUCUGUGUGUGUGUAUAUGUGUGUAUGGACUCAGCAGUCUGUGUGUGUAUGGACUCAGCAGUCUGUGUGUGUAUGGACUCAGCAGUCUGUGUGUGUAUGGACUCAGCAGAGUCUGUAUGUGUGUACGGACUCAGCAGAGUCUGUAUGUGUGUACGGACUCAGCAGAGUCUGUAUGUGUGUACGGACUCAGCAGAGUCUGUAUGUGUGUACGGACUCAGCAGAGUCUGUGUGUACGGACUCAGCAGAGUCUGUGUGUACGGACUCAGCAGAGUCUGUGUGUACGGACUCAGCAGAGUCUGUGUGUACGGACUCAGCAGAGUCUGUGUGUGUGUACGGACUCAGCAGAGCCUGUGUGUGUGUACGGACUCAGCAGAGUCUGUGUGUGUGUGUACGGACUCAGCAGAGUCUGUGUGUGUGUGUACGGACUCAGCAGAGUCUGUGUGUGUGU